rnacentral:lncRNA from 1 species
GUAAUUUUCACUUAUCCAAUACUCAUGAUAGUAAAACAAUACACAAGCUCAUUAUCACAAAAUACCCAAUUAGCCCAUCCUAUCGUCUUCUCCACGAAACCUAUUCUAAUCUAACUCGCCACCAAACGCAGCUGCCAACUCUUCACUUCGGCAGCCACCAUAUCAACCACAGCCGUCCGUCUCAGCCCCACUUGCUAUCACCAAUCCGCUACCACCUCUGCCACUUCAACAACCAUCACUAGUCGCUAUUGCACCGUUUCCUCUUGACCUAGCCAUCUGUCACCAAGUUACCCACCAUCGCUUCACCUCCAAAUAACUGAAUUGUCGUUGCUGCAAUCAUACAAUAACCAAAACUAACAAUCUAUACAACCACUAUUUCCAAUCCGCCUCCACCACCUCGGAGAUUGUUAAAUUUUUGAAUGAGAACAAUGUAUUAAAUUCCAUAAAUGGAGAAGAACAAGAUACAAUGGAACCGGAAUAAGUUCCAUAAAAGAAACACUCCAUUAUAGGAGGAAAAUGAAAUACACUCCAAAAUAGGAGGAAAUGCACUCCAUAAUAGGAGGAAAGGAACACUCCAAAGGAGGAGGAAAAUAAACCUCCGUGAAAGGGA